GUGUGGAGGCUGGACAUCAACUUGGUUGGGAACCAACGGCAGACUCAUUAUUAUUGGGCACAUGGCAUGUGGGGCACAUGACACUAUCCAUUGUUAAAUUGAACUAUGGAUCAAGGUCUGAAACUGAAGUAUGUCAUUGGUUCUUUGACUGAACAUAGUAAGGGCAUUACAUGCUUAGCUUUCAGUAUGGAUGGAUCCCUGUUGGUGUCUGGAUCAGAGGAUGGCACGAUUUGAGUUUGGGAUACUAAAAACCA